rnacentral:rRNA from 1 species
CAGGCCUAACACAUGCAAGUCGAACGAGAAAGGGGAGCAAUCCCUGAGUAAAGUGGCGCACGGGUGAGUAACACGUGACUAACCUACCCUCGAGCGGGGAAUAACCAAGGGAAACCUUGGCUAAUACCGCAUAAUACCUACGGGUCAAAGGAGUAAUCCACUUGAGGAGGGGGUCGCGGCCGAUUAGCUAGUUGGCGGGGUAAUGGCCCACCAAGGCAGUGAUCGGUAUCCGGCCUGAGAGGGCGCACGGACACACUGGAACUGAAACACGGUCCAGACUCCUACGGGAGGCAGCAGUGGGGAAUUUUGCGCAAUGGGGGGAAACCCUGACGCAGCAACGCCGCGUGGAGGAUGAAGUCCCUUGGGACGUAAGCUCCUUUCGAUCGGGACGAUUAUGACGGUACCGGAAGAAGAAGCCCCGGCUAACUUCGUGCCAGCAGCCGCGGUAAUACGAGGGGGGCAAGCGUUGUUCGGAAUUAUUGGGCGUAAAGGGAGUGUAGGCGGUUUGGUAAGUCUCGUGUGAAAUCUUCAGGCUCAACCUGAAGUCUGCACGAGAAACUGCCGGGCUUGAGUAUGGGAGAGGUGAGUGGAAUUCCUGGUGUAGCGGUGAAAUGCGUAGAUAUCAGGAGGAACACCUGUGGCGAAAGCGGCUCACUGGACCAUAACUGACGCUGAGACUCGAAAGCUAGGGGAGCAAACAGGAUUAGAUACCCUGGUAGUCCUAGCCCUAAACGAUGACUGCUUGAUGUGGCGGGUACCCAAUCCUGCCGUGUCGAAGCUAACGCGUUAAGCAGUCCGCCUGGGGAGUACGGUCGCAAGGCUGAACUCAAAGGAAUUGACGGGGGCCCGCACAAGCGGUGGAGCAUGUGCUUAAUUCGACGCAACGCGAAGAACCUUACCUAGGCUCGAAAUGUACAGGAAUCCGGUGAAACAUCGCGUCGCGCAAGGGAUCUUGUAUAUAGUGCUGCAUGGCUGUCGUCAGCUCGUGUCGUGAGAUGUUGGGUUAAGUCCCGCAACGAGCGCAACCCUUACCCCCAGUUGCCAUCAUUCAGUUGGGCACUGUGGUGGAACCGCCUCGGAUAACGGGGAGGAAGGUGGGGAUGACGUCAAGUCCUCAUGGCCUUUAUGUCUAGGGCUACACACGUGCUACAAUGGCCGAUACAAACCGCCGCAAACCCGCGAGGCGGAGCUAAUCGGAAAAAGUCGGCCUCAGUUCAGAUCGCAGUCUGCAACUUGACUGCGUGAAGCUGGAAUCGCUAGUACUCGCGGAUCAGAAUGCCGCGGUGAAUACGUUCCCGGGCCUUGUACACACCGCCC